CAAGCAGAGAUAAGUGCUCCCGAGAUUAAUAAACGAAAAUAGCCCCCCGACAGUCUUCCCAGCACAGGAUCACGAUUUGUCCUUUGCCUCGUCUCGGRGGGUGCAAGGCUGAAUUGUGCAGCCACAACACUGACACGUUGCUCGCAUUGUAAGGAAUCACAAGGAGUUUCUUCAGAGCUGUAAGUGGUGGUGAAACGUCUAACUAGAUGCCCAGCUGCCA
ensembl:lncRNA